rnacentral:rRNA from 1 species
ACUCAAAGGAAUAGACGGGGGCCCGCACAAGCAGCGGAGCAUGUUGCUUAAUUCGAUGCAACGCGAAGAACCUUACCUGGGUUUGACAUGGUGGGAAAAGCCGUAGAGAUACGGUGUCCUUCGGGGCCCAUCACAGGUGGUGCAUGGCUGUCGUCAGCUCGUGUCGUGAGAUGUUGGGUUAAGUCCCGCAACGAGCGCAACCCUUGUCCUAUGUUGCCAGCGGGUAAUGCCGGGGACUCGUAGGAGACUGCCGGGGUCAACUCGGAGGAAGGUGGGGACGACGUCAAGUCAUCAUGCCCCUUAUGUCCAGGGCUGCAAACAUGCUACAAUGGCCGGUACAAAGGGCUGCUAGCCCGCGAGGGUGAGCGAAUCCCAUAAAGCCGGUCUCAGUUCGGAUUGGAGUCUGCAACUCGACUCCAUGAAGCCGGAGUUGCUAGUAAUCCCGGAUCAGCACUGCCGGGGUGAAUACGUUCCCGGGCCUUGUACACACCGCCCGU